ensembl:lncRNA novel transcript
AUCUCCUGUGAGCCUCCAGAUUAGUACAGCUGUGGCAUUAGGUGACCUUUAUUUUUUCUUCUUUCUUACCCCACUAGUAUCUUGAGGAAGAUGCAUAAUAUGAGUAAAGUGACAGAAGUCCUAGAGACCAAGUGGGAUGCCCAGUCCCAGACUCAGCCCCAGAUCUGGUGCAGCAACCACACCCGGUCUACCCCACAUCACUCCCUGAGCAGCACGUCUCCACAGCUUGACAAGGAGGAAGUGCAUCCUUCAGUGACUGCAGUCAAUGCCAGCCCUGCCAUUUCUGCUGAUUCAGCUGCUUUGCCCAGCAACCAAGGAACCAGGUCUGCCCAGCCCUUCCAUCCUUCGAGCGGCACUGGCCCAGCAGAGCAGGACACUAGAACACGGUAGCAGUGGCCCAUGGGAAGAGAUGAGGCCUCAAAAAAUGAAUGCAUCUGG